UCCGGGUUUCGCCCGGCAGUCUCCCUAGAGUGCCCUUGCGUAGCAACUAGGGACAAGGGUUGCGCUCGUUGCGGGACUUAACCCAACAUCUCACGACGCGAGCUGACGACAGCCAUGCAGCACCUGUGUUCCCGUUCCCUUUCGGGCACACCCGGCUUUCACCGGGCUCCAGGACAUGUCAAGGGUAGGUAAGGUUUUUCGCGUUGCAUCGAAUUAAUCCACAUAAUCCACCGCUUGUGCGGGUCCCCGCCAAUUCCUUUGAGUUUUAAUCUUGCGACCGUACUCCCCAGGCGGAUAACUUAAUGCGUUAGCUGCGCCACCAAAGCACCAAGUGCCCUGACAGCUAGUUAUCAUCGUUUACGGCGUGGACUAC
rnacentral:misc_RNA from 1 species